rnacentral:rRNA from 1 species
UACGAAGGGGGCUAGCGUUGCUCGGAAUCACUGGGCGUAAAGGGUGCGUAGGCGGGUCUUUAAGUCAGGGGUGAAAUCCUGGAGCUCAACUCCAGAACUGCCUUUGAUACUGAGGAUCUUGAGUACGGGAGAGGUGAGUGGAACUGCGAGUGUAGAGGUGAAAUUCGUAGAUAUUCGCAAGAACACCAGUGGCGAAGGCGGACUCACUGGCCCGUAACUGACGCUGAGGCACGAAAGCGUGGGGAGCAAACGGGG